AGGAUGCUGGGGGUGCAGGAGAAAGUACCUGUGCACGGGCAUCUUCACCAGCCUUGCAGAGGAACAGAUGCAUAAUCAGCGCUGAGUCAUAAGGGCAGAAGAACACAAGAAAGGCCACAGAUUCUAUGAAGUGACGAUCUGAGGAAGUGUGGGAGACAUCACUGAAGUGAAAUGGGGGCCUGAAAUUCCAGGGAAAGAAGAGGAGGUACUUUGAACACAGUGUGCCAGAGAAUUCUGGUGUGAAGAACAAACGGAAGCAGCCAGAAGGCAGAGCUGACUUCCUUGCCCAAAGUCUGUGGUACGACAAAGGGCCGGGAACCGUCAACGUGAACUGCAAAUGUGCAGGCUAGUCAAGUGAAGCAGUGGGAGCGGAGGAGGAACAAAGGAAUCUGUCACUGGUUGUGAUCAAUUAGUUGUAAACACCACUGCACUUGGACCAGCCAAAUGAUCCUCUUUCAAAACAUACCAUCUGAUUACCUUGUUAUGUGCAUAUUUAAGCUAUA